GCAGGUCCAAGACCAAACGUCUUCUGCUCUAAGUCUCUUUCAAAAUGUCUGCACAGAAAAGAGGCGCUGAAACAGAAGGAAAGGGAAGUAAUAAACACAAGACAGUAGAUUCUGCUGACUGCUGUGUGGAUGAAGAUAAAGAAAGUCUUAAUGUAAUUGAAGACGAUAGUGGCAAAGCUCUUGUGGUCUGUAAGUAUUGGCUUUUUGAAUUCUUUUUGUGAAUAGAGAAGCUGUUGAAAUUAACUGGUGAUGCUUCGUUU
rnacentral:sRNA from 1 species